rnacentral:rRNA from 1 species
AACGGCCGUACCAUGCUGAAUAUAUCGGUUCUCGUUAGAUCACCGAAGUUAAGCAUCAUUGGGCGCGGUUAGUACUUGGGUGGGUGACCACCUGGGAACACUGCGUGCCGUU